rnacentral:sRNA from 1 species
AAAAAAAAACCGAAAAAAAGAAGAAUGCAACACAAGGACUUUCCAGGAGGUCAACCAUCCUAGUAGUACUCUCGCCCAAUCACGCUUAACUGCAGAGUUCUGAUGGGAUCCGGUGCAUUAGUGCUGGUAUGAUCGCAUCUGUUACUACAUGCAAUGCAAUCGUAUCUAUUCUUUUUUGAAGACUUUAUGAUCCAUUUGCCGUGGGUCCCACCAGCUAUGUAGGAAUACCUUAUCUUGUUUAUAAGAGCUUUGAUACAUGCAAAAUAUUCGAAUACAAUGUCUGAACGUAUAACUUUCGCCCCGUAAUAUAGCGAAGAUCACGAAAAGGCCCGAAAAAGUACAUUAAGGUCAAAAUUUCGAGUAGAAAUAAAAACCAAUAGAAGAAUUCCAAUUUCCUUCCUCAUUCAUUGGAGAGCUCUCUUUGGGCUUUCCGAAAAGGUAUCACAUGCGAAGUUUCGCCUCACAAUCUAAAAGUUAUAUAGUCAUACAUUUUUAACAAAACAAAUAGAGAAAAACCGAAAAAAAGAAUGAUACAACACAACGACUUUCCCGGAGGUCACCCAUCCUAAUACUAUUCUCGCCCAAGCAAGCUUAACUGCAGAGUAUUGAUGGGAUCUGAUGCAUAAGUGCUGAUAUGAUCGCAUCCGUUACUACAUGCAAUGCAAUCGUAUCUAUUCGUUUUUGAAGACUUUAUGAUCCAUUUGCCGUGGGUCCCACCAGCUAUGUAGGAAUACCCUAUCUUGUUUAUAAGAGCUUUGAUACAUGCAAAAAAUUGGAAAACAAUGUCUGAACAUAUAAUUUUUGUCCCGUAAUAUAGCAAAGAUCACGAAAAGGAUAGAAAAAGUACAUUAAGGUCAAAAUUUUGAGUAGAAAAAAAAUCAAUAGAAGGAUU